rnacentral:rRNA from 1 species
CCUACGGGAGGCAGCAGUGGGGAAUAUUGCGCAAUGGGCGAAAGCCUGACGCAGCGACGCCGCGUGAGGGAUGAAGGUCUUCGGAUCGUAAACCUCUGUCAGCAGGGAAGAACGGUCACUGUGCUAAUCAGCAGUGCAUUGACGGUACCUGCAAAGGAAGCACCGGCUAACUCCGUGCCAGCAGCCGAGGUAAUACGGAGGGUGCGAGCGUUAAUCGGAAUUACUGGGCGUAAAGCGGUCGUAGGCGGUAUGUCAAGUCAAGGGUGAACUCCCCGCGCUCAACGUGGGAACUGCCUUUGAAACUGGCAAACUGGAGUGUGUGAGAGGAUAGCGGAAUUCCAGGUGUAGGAGUGAAAUGCGUAGAUAUCUGGAGGAACAUCAGUGGCGAAGGCGACUAGCUGGAACAUAACUGACGCUGAGGCGCGAAAGCGUGGGUAGCAAACAGGAUUAGAUACCCGAGUAGUC